CCGGUCCCUUCCCGGGCCCGGAGCGCGAGGCCCCGCCCAGGACCGCCGCGCGUCUGCAGGCGGGGUCGGCCGCCUCUGGGUCCCGCUUGAAAUUCUGUAGAAGCCUGAAAGCUCGCGGAGCGCGGACUCCGAGUGAGUUUGAGGAUGUGUGCGGCUGGUGGCUGCGCCGGGGCCCCCGCGGAGAAGGUGGGGGGCCCCGACACCCGCUUGCUUGGACCGUGCGCUAUGAGAAGAUGAGGAAACUGAGGCACUGAGGACUUCAGGAACUUGCCCACUGUUUCACAGCCAGGAAGAGGCAGAUUGCAGAUUUGGAGCCCAGAGAGUGCUGUUCUUAGUGUACACUGCCUCCUUGAUGCUGCUGGUCUCCCCUGGUGCCACCUCCAGCUUCGGGCUCCAGAACCUUCACGGUCAGGCUCUGGGUUCUGACCUUUUCCUGUCUUCAGCAACUAAAGAAUAAGAAGCAGGCAGAGACACAGAUGCUCCACGGCAGCCCUCCACCGACACCCAGCAAGCGGCGAGGUCUGGCACCCAGCACUCUGGGCAAAGUGCGCAAGGUGUCAUUACUUCUACCAGUUUGAGGAGAAAAACACCCGCUGGUGUCAAGCCUGGAACCAAUGAGAAGAACCUGGAGCUCAUUGGCAGCAUCCUCAGUGGUGGGUACCCUGACUAACCCCAGCCCUCGGCGCAACUCCAGCAUUAAUUCUGUUGCCAGCACCUAUUCUGAGUUUGUGGCAAUUCACCUUUUCUAAUAUCCACCAGUCCCUGGGGAGCACACAGUUAGAGCAGAGUGGGUAUCUUUUCAAGGACACCCAAGCUAUUAGUUAGGACAGUACUUUGAAGGCUGAGACUCACUUUCCUGCCUUGACCAUGAUAUGAGGGGUGGUAGUUUAAGGGAGGUAUCUAGGAGGGAAGAUGGCAGCAGCAACCAGGCAUUUCACCUGGAUCCUUCUGCUUAAGAAAUAACUUUCACUGGCUGCAGGAGAUGACCCUGCUAAUUGCUGCCCUGGUGCUCUCUUGGUGGAGUUCUUGGUAAUUGUCUUAAUUCUUUGUUCUUAGAAGGAUCCGUCCCUUUCUGACAGCUCCACUGUUGGGCUUCAGGUCUGUAUGGCAACCCCUGCAUGUCCCCUUUUCAAACUGAUCUGUCAUCUGCCAGCUUCAUUACCGUCUGGACAUAGGGCUACACUAACCAGUCUCAGCUGUACAAGCUCAUAAAAACCUUUUUUUUUACAAAGGAAGUAGAAAUUCCUAACAUAGAUUUCAAAAAUAAUAACUAUCUGGUUUAAAUUCCCAACCUGCUGAUUAACUUAUUCAGACUUGGAUUCUCAGCCCAUGUAAAGUCAGGCUGGGUCGGAGUUCCCGUUGUGGCCCAGUGGUUAACGGCUCCAACUAGGAGCCACGAGGUUGUGGGUUAAGGAUCCGGUGUUGCCGUGAGUUGUGGUGUAGGUCGCAGACGUGGCUCGGAUCCCGAGUUGGCUGUGGCUGUGGCGUAGGCCGGUGGCUAUAGCUCCAAUUAGACCCCUAGCCUGGAACCUCCACAUGCCACAAGUGCCGCCCUAAAAAAGACAAAAAAAAAAAAAAAAAAAAA
rnacentral:lncRNA from 1 species